AUGUACAAGUUGUACAAGAGCGAGCUGGACGCGAUCAUGCCUGAGCAGAGUUUUGGUAACCCUAUAGAGUUCAUGCUGAAUCCGAUGUGCACUAAGGAUAGGGAUCUCUGGCAUAUGUGGUGCCCACUCAUACGCAACUGGGCGGUUGAGCUUCACCUGCCACAUCGGGUGUUCCGCCAGUUUGGUUUGUUCCAGCCACACCCGCCGGAGUGGGAGGACACGAACAAGUUGCUACACGCGUUGGAUAGGAAAAUGCUGCGAAAGAUCAAGGAUUGGGCCAAGCAUCACAAGAAUACCCGUGUGGAGGUAUGCAAGCCGACGUAUGCUGAGGAGAUUUUGGAAGAUCCCAUCGUUUUUGAUGAGAUAGCCUAG
rnacentral:rRNA from 1 species